UACGUAGGGUCCAAGCGUUAAUCGGAAUUACUGGGCGUAAAGCGUGCGCAGGCGGUUGUGUAAGCCAGAUGUGAAAUCCCCGGGCUUAACCUGGGAAUGGCAUUUGGGACUGCACGGCUAGAGUACGGCAGAGGGGGAUGGAAUCCCGCGUGUAGCAGUGAAAUGCGUAGAUAUGCGGAGGAACACCGAUGGCGAAGGCAAUCCCCUGGGCCUGCACUGACGCUCAUGCACGAAAGCGUGGGGAGCAAACAGG
rnacentral:rRNA from 1 species